rnacentral:lncRNA from 1 species
UGUCCUGAGGUUUCAGGUUAUGGGAGCCACGGGAGCGGUCCUCCGGGAGAGUCGGCUGCAUAGUGGGUCUUCAGCCCAAACGAUAGCGUGUCUUGUCUGUAGCAGGAUACUCUCCAUAUCCCCGGCUCUCUUUUUCUAAAAUAGAACUGGGAGCCACAGAAGCAUGCGAGGAGGCCCUGGCUGUCAUCUUCUGGUUUGCCUUCGGCCUCAGGAGCAGCUGUUCUGUGUCUCCAAGACUCUUUAAGAUAAGUUUGCUCUUUGGUAUCCACAAGUUUCUGAUUGUCUACCCCUGGGUCCUGCAGUGUGGGGGAGAAUUUACAUAGCAAAUUGAGGAGAAGAAGAAAAGGUCUGACUUAGGAAUGGUUCAAGUAGUUUAACAGGAACCUCAUCAGGACUAGGGUGUGGUCUAAACGUGUCACUUAUGGAGACAUAUUGCAUGGAGAGGCAUCAUGAAGCCAUAGUUAGUAGGAAAGAGGCAACAUUUACCACUUCAUGGUUUGAGCCAUACCCAAUGCCACAGUAAUAGCUUACAGCCAGCCUUGGUCAGGGCCUUCUCAUCAGACCUCACACUCUGCUGUCCUAGGACUCCCCAGGGACCUUGUUCCUCCGGCUGGGUGAUGGCCUCAGACUUGGUAUUGCAUCACCGGGAACACCCGUCCCAGAGCCUGACUUGCAAGGAGGCACACCUCAUUUCUGCUCCCAGGCAGGCGAGCAGCACGCUCUAAUCAGCUGGGCAGGUGUUGCAACAGCGUGGGUAGUUGACUCACAGUGUAUUUAGCAGAUUUACCCAGGCAAAGCUACGCUUACCCAGUGAAGAGAAAGAAAGGACCCUGGGCUGAAAUUUAGGGGUACUAGAGACCCACUGCCAGCCCCCAAGGUGAAGGCGGCAGGGAGACUCCGAGGUUGAACUGCAGAAUCUUCAUGUUUCUCAGAAAUUCUUAUUCUGUGUCUUCUUUUAUAGGGUUGGGGGAGAGUGUCUUUUCUCUUUCAGAAAGUGACAUGUAAUUUACACACACGUGAAACUUACAGCUCUUAAGCAUAUAACUCCAUGCAAUUUGACAAAGGGUGUAAUCCACACCCACCAAGGUCCAGAACAAUCCGCUCCGCUCAGAAAGUUUCCUGGUGCCUCUUGUGACCACCUGCACUGGAAGCAGCUGCUCUUCUGAAUCCUGUAUCGGUCUUUGUCACUACUCACGCAAAUAACAUAUGUAUUCAGUCCCCAAAUGAGUAGAUUUGGAGCCACUUGUUUAUGAAAAUACAUACCAUAAUUUUAAGGUAUAGCUUAGGUUUGAAAUGUAUUUUGGGAAUGAAUAUAAAAUAUGAUAUAUAUAUGUUUUUGUACACACACAGACAUACCACAGUAAACUACUAUUUAGGCUUAAAGAUAAAGGAAAUCAUAAUGUGUGCUACAUUUUGUUAAGUGAAAUAUGCUAAACACAAAUAUGAUUACAUGACCCCACUAAUAAGAGAUACCUACACUAGCUACAGCCAUAGAGGUAAAGUGUAGACCAGUGCCCAGGGAGGCAGGGAAUGGCACUGCUUGGUGGGUAUAGUGUAGAAUUUCAAUAUGAGGUGU